rnacentral:rRNA from 1 species
UACGGGGGGGCAAGCGUUGUUCGGAAUUACUGGGCGUAAAGGGCUCGUAGGCGGCCAACUAAGUCAGACGUGAAAUCCCUCGGCUUAACCGGGGAACUGCAUCUGAUACUGGAUGGCUUGAGUUCGGGAGAGGGAUGUGGAAUUCCAGGUGUAGCGGUGAAAUGCGUAGAUAUCUGGAGGAACACCGGUGGCGAAGGCGGCAUCCUGGACCCGACACUGACGCUGAUGAGCGAAAGCCAGGGGAGCAAACGGG